rnacentral:rRNA from 1 species
UACGGAGGGUGCGAGCGUUGUCCGGAAUCAUUGGGCGUAAAGGGCGCGUAGGUGGCCCGGUCAGUUCGUGGUGAAAGCGCGGGGCUCAACCCUGCGUCGGCCAUGAAUACUGCCGCGGCUGGAGCACUGUAGAGGCAGGCGGAAUUCCGGGUGUAGCGGUGGAAUGCGUAGAGAUCGGGAAGAACAUCGGUGGCGAAGGCGACUCUUUGGCCUGUAACUGACGCUGAGGCGCGAAAGCGUGGGGAGCAAACAGG